rnacentral:rRNA from 1 species
UACGUAGGUGGCAAGCGUUGUCCGGAUUUACUGGGCGUAAAGAGCGCGCAGGCGGUCGUUCAAGUCGCGUGUGAAAGCCCCCCGGCUCAACUGGGGAGGGUCACGCGAUACUGAUCGACUCGAAGGCAGGAGAGGGUAGUGGAAUUCCCGGUGUAGUGGUGAAAUGCGUAGAUAUCGGAAGGAACAUCAGUGGCGAAAGCGACUUCCUGGACCAGUACCGACGUUCAGGCACGAAAGCGUGGGGAGCAAACAGG